AUGGCUACCGAGGACACCGACCCCAAGUCUAGUGCUACUGUUGCAGCUGCCGUCCCGUACGUGUUCUUGUUUUUCCUGUUAGAGGUUCUGCCACAGUUCCUUGUUCUAGUCCUUGCCCUACACAUGAUAGGUUCUACUUCAUAUAUGCUACUUGGUCUACUGUCUACUCUAGAGAUGUUCGGUUCUAGUUUAUAUUUGCAGAUGUUAUCUACCUUCUCUUUGUCAGAUCGCAUGACUUGCUUUAUCUCUGUUACUUUAGUCAUGCUUUAUCUAGUAUUUCCGUUAAUAAAAUCAUAUGGUAAAUUGCCAAUAUUUCCAACAAUCCAAAAACCUUAUUAUAGGCAAUUUACACCAAGUGGUUUUGCUGCUUCCAUGAGACCUCCUAUGUUUGAGGGUAUCCACUAUAAGAGGUGGCGCGUGAGAGCAGUCUUAUGGUUUCAAACCAUUCUUGGCAAACCUGAAGGAGAUCUUGAUGCUCAACAGGCACAAGCUUUUUAG
rnacentral:rRNA from 1 species